UCGAAACCUACAAAAGCAGACCCGUGAACAUGUUUAAAUAAUCUAGUGGUCAUGAUUUUGGAUGUCCUUGCAUCCAUUGUCGUGGCCGCAGAUCCCAAACGGCGCUAGUCGCUUGGGUCGUACUAACCUCCCGGCGCGGCAAGCGCCAAGGAAAACCAAAUCGAUGGACUCCUCCAUGCGGGUGUUGUACGCAGCGCUCGAUACGUUGAGGAGCAUCUACAAAAAUAGUCGUAACGACUCUCGGCAACGGAUAUCUCGGCUCUCGCAUCGAUGAAGAACGUAGCGAAAUGCGAUACUUGGUGUGAAUUGCAGAAUCCCGUGAACCAUCGAGUCUUUGAACGCAAGUUGCGCCCAAAGCCAUCAGGCUGAGGGCACGUCUGCCUGGGCGUCACGCAUCUCGUCACCCCCUAACAUCAUCUUUCCACAUAUAUUGUCGGAAGAUGCAUGAAACGUGCGGGUGGAAAUUGGCCUCCCGUUACCAGUGUGUAGCGGUUGGCCCAAACAGGAAACCGUGUCGAUAGAUGUCACACGAUACGUGGUGGUUGGAUUUUCGUCAACUUGCGAACUAUCGUGUGGGACUUCGAGCCACGGACAAAGACCCAAUGGCAGCAAAUGCCCUCCGAAUGUA
rnacentral:rRNA from 1 species